rnacentral:rRNA from 1 species
AUGAACGCUAGCGGCAGGCUUAACACAUGCAAGUCGAGGAGUAUAGUUCUUCGGAAUUAGAGACCGGCGCACGGGUGCGUAACGCGUAUGCAAUCUACCUUUCACAGAGGGAUAGCCCAGAGAAAUUUGGAUUAAUACCUCAUAGUAUAGCAGUUUCGCAUGAAACCACUAUUAAAGUCACAACGGUGAAAGAUGAGCAUGCGUCCCAUUAGCUAGUUGGUAAGGUAACGGCUUACCAAGGCAACGAUGGGUAGGGGUCCUGAGAGGGAGAUCCCCCACACUGGUACUGAGACGCGGACCAGACUCCUACGGGAGGCAGCAGUGAGGAAUAUUGGACAAUGGGCGCAAGCCUGAUCCAGCCAUGCCGCGUGCAGGAUGACGGUCCUAUGGAUUGUAAACUGCUUUUAUACAGGAAGAAACACUACUUCGUGAAGUAGCUUGACGGUACUGUAAGAAUAAGGAUCGGCUAACUCCGUG